UAGUAGAAAAAGUAUAUACAGUAGAAGUCUCAUUUAUACAUAAGUUGAGUUGUACCAGGGAUGGAUACAAACAGAUAAGGAUGAGAAGUACAUAUAAUAACCCAGGUACAUUUAAUAUUCCAAGUGUUAAAGUAACCAAAGACAUUAUCUCUCCUUUGGAUAAAUGGAAGUACGCCAUGGGCUGUAUGAUUAAGACUUUUUAUUCUGAGAAUAGGGGCUCCUGCUCCUCCCCUAUGCCAACUAAGUUUAUUGUACAUGGAGGAGCAUUGGGUCCACUAUCGCCAAGCCUGCUAUGGCAUACACCUUCCAUUUUGCACCCCAGUUUUCUGCUACUAGAGGGGUGCUAGUGAUAUUAGUUAAUGAUGAUGCUUGAUCAUGACAUAAUUUCCAAGUGACUGCUUUGGUUGAUCCA